AAAUUUUGCGCAAUGGGCGAAAGCCUGACGCAGCAACGCCGCGUGGAGGACGAAGGUCUUCGGAUUGUAAACUCCUGUCCUCGGGGAAGAAGGAAGUGACGGUACCCGAGGAGGAAGCCCCGGCUAACUCCGUCCCAGCAGCCGCGGUCAUACGGGGGGGGCAAGCGUUGUUCGGAAUUACUGGGCGUAAAGGGCACGCAGGCGGAAGGGGAAGUUCUGGGUGAAAGCCCCCGGCUCAACCGGGGAAGUGCCUGGAAAACCACCUUUCUGGAGUGCUGGAGAGGGAAGCGGAAUUCCUGGUGUAGCGGUGAAAUGCGUAGAUAUCAGGAGGAACACCGGAGGCGAAGGCGGCUUCCUGGACAGACACUGACGCUGAGGUGCGAAAGCCAGGGGAGCAAACGGG
rnacentral:rRNA from 1 species